UACGGAGGGAGCUAGCGUUGUUCGGAAUUACUGGGCGUAAAGCGCACGUAGGCGGCUUUGUAAGUUAGAGGUGAAAGCCCGGGGCUCAACUCCGGAACUGCCUUUAAGACUGCAUCGCUUGAAUCCAGGAGAGGUGAGUGGAAUUCCGAGUGUAGAGGUGAAAUUCGUAGAUAUUCGGAAGAACACCAGUGGCGAAGGUGGCUCACUGGACUGGUAUUGACGCUGAGGUGCGAAAGCGUGGGGAGCAAACAGG
rnacentral:rRNA from 1 species